UCGGAGUGGUGGGCUGCUGCCCUCACAACCAUUGUGAGGGCAGCGGUUCAAGCCCCCACAAAAAUAUUUGUGGGGGCUAACGUGCUUAUUUGUUUAAUAUUUCAAAAAUUUCCUCUCCCUCGUGCAAUACGAGUGGAGUAUGGACAUCCCUCUUCUGUAAGGGAUUAUUUGUCUGGGCAUGUACUUCACAGAAUUCAAUGUAAUAAUAUAAGUCCCAAUCAUGUAUUUCUGAUUGUAAAUAUCAGUGUAAUAUAU
rnacentral:lncRNA from 1 species